rnacentral:sRNA from 1 species
GCCAGGUGCUGUGGUGCAUGCCUGUAAUCCCAGCGGCUUGGGAGGCUGAGGUAGGAGUAUUGUGAGUUCAAAGCCAGCCUCAGUAACUUGGUGAGGCCCUAAGCAACUCAGUGAUAUCCUGUCUCUA